rnacentral:rRNA from 1 species
CACGUAGGGUGCGAGCGUUGUCCGGAAUUAUUGGGCGUAAAGAGCUCGUAGGCGGUGUGUCGCGUCGGCCGUGAAAACCUGCAGCUUAACUGUGGGCUUGCGGUCGAUACGGGCAUCACUGGAGUUCGGCAGGGGAGACUGGAAUUCCUGGUGUAGCGGUGAAAUGCGCAGAGUAUCAGGAGGAACACCGGUGGCGAAGGCGGGUCUCUGGG